CCUACGUGAGGCAGCAGUGAGGAAUAUUGGUCAAUGGCCGGAAGGCUGAACCAGCCAAGUCGCGUGAGGGACGACUGCCCUAUGGGCUGUAAACCUCUUUUAUAAGGGAAGAAUAAAUGCUACGUGUAGCAUGAUCCCUGUACCUUAUGAAUAAGCACCGGCUAAUACCGUGUCAGAAGCCGCGGUAAUACGGGGGAUGUGAGCGUUACCCGGGUUUAUUGGGGUUAACGGGGGCGUAGGCGGUUUUUUAAGUUAGGGGUUAAACGUCGGGGCUUCACUUUGAUUUGCCAUUAAUACUGUAAGACUCGAGUUCAGACGAGGUAGGCGGAAUAAGUUAAGUAGCGGUGAAAUGCUUAGAUAUAACUUAGAACACCGAUAGCGAAGGCAGCUUACCAGACUGCGACUGACGCUGAAGCACGAGAGCGUGGGUAGCGAACAGGAUUAGAUACCCCGGUAGUC
rnacentral:rRNA from 1 species